UACGUAGGGCGCAAGCGUUGUCCGGAAUUACUGGGCGUAAAGCGUGCGCAGGCGGUUCGUUAUGUCCGAUGUGAAAGCCCCGAGCUCAACUUGGGAAUGGCAUUGGAAACUGGCGGGCUGGAGUGUGGCAGAGGGGGGUGGAAUUCCAGGUGUAGCGGUGAAAUGCGUAGAUAUCUGGAGGAACACCGGUGGCGAAGGCGGCAUCCUGGACCAACACUGACACUGAUGAGCGAAAGCCAGGGGAGCAAACGGG
rnacentral:rRNA from 1 species